rnacentral:tRNA from 1 species
GCGGGAGUGGCGAGCACCAGAUUUAGGUUCUGGCGCCGCAAGGUGUGCGAGUUCAAGUCUCGCCUCCCGCACCA